AUGCGGCUGGCGGCGGCGGCGGGGGUCCUCCGCCCCACGGCCGCCCUCCUCUUCCACUCCCGGUCCCGGCCGCACCGCCUCCUCCCCUCCCCGCGCCGCUCCUCCCUCCCCUUCGCCCGCCGGCGCCGCCACUCCUCCUCCUCCACCGCCACGGCCCUCGACGACCCCCCUCCUCCGGCGGCGCCCGGUCCGCCCUCCCCCGCCCCACCGGCGCCCACGGGGGAGGGCGGGGAGACCAAGGCCGCCCGGCGCCGGCGCGCGCGGGAGUCCCCGGAGGGCAUGCUCAGGCACCGGCUCGACAUGUGCUCCCGCGACGCGGACCUGGCCACGGCGCUGGAGCUCUACGCGGCCGCGGUCGACCCGGCCACCGCCGUCCCGCUCGCGCUCCACCACUACAACUGCCUGCUCUACCUCUGCUCCAACGCGGCCGCCGAGGACGCCGCCGCCGCGCGCCGCGGCUUCGAGAUCUUCGCCGCCAUGGAGGCGCAGGGCGUGGAGCCCAACGAGGCCACGCUCACCAGCCUCGCCCGCCUCGCCGCCGCCGUCCGCGACCCGGCCAUGGCCUUCUCCGUCGUCCGCCGCAUGGCCGCCGCCGGCAUCCCGCCGCGCCUCCGCUCCUACGGCCCGGCCCUCUUCGCCUACUGCGACGCCCGCGACGCCGCCGGGGCCGCCGAGGUCGAGGCCCACAUGGACGCCGGCGGGGUCGUGCCGGAGGAGACCGAGCUCGCCGCGCUGCUCCGCGUCAAUGCCGACACCGGGAGGGCCGGCGAGGUGUACAGGGUGCUGCACAGGACGCGCACGCUCGUCAGGCAGGUGUGCGAGGCCACCGCCCAGGUGGUGGAGGCCUGGUUCCGGUCCGACGCCGCGGCGGAGGCCGGGGUCGAGAAGUGGGACGCCAGGAAGGUCAGGGAAGGCGUGGUGAAGGGCGGCGGCGGCUGGCAUGGCCAGGGCUGGCUCGGCAAGGGGCAAUGGGACGUCGGGCAGAGCGAGAUGGACAAGAACGGCAAAUGCCUGCGCUGCGGCGAGAAGCUCGUGUGCAUAGACAUUGAUCCUUCCGAGACAGAGACCUUUGCCAAGUCCCUCGCCGAACUCGCGUGCAAGCGGGAGGUCAGGGACGAUUUCAUACGGUUUCAGGACUGGCUCCGUCGAAAUGGACCAUUCGACGCUGUUAUUGAUGCUGCUAAUGUCGGCCUUUACAACAGUAAAGCUUUCAGUUUUUCUCAGGUGAACUCUGUUGUAAAUGGCAUACAGAGAGUAACCAAGUCAAAGAAAUUGCCACUGAUCGUUUUGCAUAGGAGCCGGGUAAAUUGUGGCCCCGCAAAAGCACCACAGAAUCAGAAGCUCAUAGAGAGUUGGCGAAAUGCUGGAGUGCUAUAUUCUACUCCUCCUGGUUCCAAUGAUGAUUGGUAUUGGCUGUAUGCAGCAGUUAGUUGCCGUUCACUGCUUGUUACGAACGAUGAGAUGCGGGACCACUUGUUUCAACUUCUCGGCACUAGUUUCUUCCCCAGAUGGAAAGAGAAGCAUCAGGUCAGGCUAACAUACUCGGGCCGCGGUCCUACUUUCCACUUGCCGCCUCCUUAUUCAAUUGUCAUUCAGGAAUCCGAAGCCGGGAGCUGGCACGUGCCGACGACGACCGGAGACGACAUCGAGAGCCCGCGGCAGUGGGUCUGCGCCACCAGGAAAACUUCGGAGGGACCGCCUUCUCCACCGCCCCAAGCUCGCGCUGCCAGCAAAACUUUGGAGAAACCACCUUCUCCGCCUCCCCAAGCUCGGGCUGCCAGCAAAACUUUGGAGAGACCGCCUUCUCCGCCUCCCCAAGCUCGGGCUGCCAGCAAAACUUUGGAGAGACNNNNNNNNNNNNNNNNCCAAGCUCGUGCCACCAGCAAAACUUCCGAGAGACCGGCUUCUCUGCCUCCCCAAGCUAAGGCCACCAGAAAAACUUUGGAGAGACCGCCUUCUCUGCCGCCCCAAGCUUCGGCCAGCAGGAAAACUUCGGAGAGACUGCCUUCUCUGCCGCCCCAAGCUCGCGCCACUAGCAAAACUUCGGAGAGACCGCCUUCUCCGCCGCCCCAAGCUCGCGCCACCAGGAAAACUUCGGAGAGACCGGCCUCUCCGCCGCCCCAAGCUUCCGGCACCAUCAAAACUUCCGAGGGACCGCCUUCUCCGCCGCCCCAAGCGAGGUUAAGUGACCUUGGCUGGUAG
rnacentral:rRNA from 1 species